rnacentral:rRNA from 1 species
UACGGGGGGGCAAGCGUUACUCGGAAUUACUGGGCGUAAAGCGUGCGUAGGUGGUUUGUUAAGUCUGUUGUGAAAGCCCCGGGCUCAACCUGGGAAUGGCAAUGGAUACUGGCAAGCUAGAGUGCGGUAGAGGGUAGUGGAAUUCCCGGUGUAGCGGUGAAAUGCGUAGAGAUCGGGAGGAACACCAGUGGCGAAGGCGGCUACCUGGACCAGCACUGACACUGAGGCACGAAAGCGUGGGGAGCAAACAGGG